UCUUUCAUUUGAUGAAAGCUUAGAAUUAAUCUUAGUACACCUUCCUACACAUCUCAACUAGAGUUGUGGAUGAGAAUUCUUUUUAAUUCUGAUGAUAGU